ensembl:lncRNA
CUUUUCUUCCGCUUUCAUUCAGCCAUUUUCUCUGAGACACUUUGCGCCUGUGUGUUUCCUGCAGUAAUAACAUCGCCGGCGGCACUCAUGCUCUUCUGUGAAUUGUACUUCUUGGACUUCCAGGAACAGUUGACAAGUUAAUAUGAACUCCAUACACAGGUGUGUAAUGAGGGAGAUCGCUUCAACACGCACCCAAUCAGAAACAGCUAAUCUGACCAUAUUGUUUGACAAGUGUGUUCCUUACUGCUCUCUGCCACAGGAGAUGUAAUCUGAAACAAUUAUGCCAAUUCCUCAGAACAGUAUGCUGCGGGGUGAGUUGGCAAUUUCCUGUGAGAUGGAACCACUGCAGUCGGGCGUCUCUCUCUGAUAACGUCUCUGACAUGAGCUGCUGUUAGCGUCAGCAC